AAGACGACGAGAGAGGGGAACAAUAACCCGAUUAUUCGAGUGAGAUGACCAAAUAUUUGAAGCGGAUCUGGAGCAAUAACACCAUAAUCGAAUUGCCCAUUGAUGACGCAUUAUAUUUAAAUGUCAUCAUUCUAAUGAGAGGAAUAGGUCUGCACACGAACGUCGCUUCUCCAUGCGCCAAAACGUUAUAGGUUUAUGACAAAAUAUCAAACAGUUUGACGGAUGUCGCGUCUGUAAAGCUAGGAGAUUGAGAGAUUUCAAUAUAUAUCAUGGCAGCAAAACGGAAGGCGUCCUCUCUUCACGCCGUUGACGGUGAUGAGCCUGUUGACCCUUCUGACGAGCUCCUGUUCUACAAUCUUGGUGGUGGAAAUGAAGUCGGGAGGUCAUGUCAUAUCAUUCAAUACAAGGGGAAGACAGUUAUGCUUGACGCUGGAAUGCACCCGGCAAAAGAUGGCUUCGCUGCACUCCCAUUCUUCGACGAUUUUGACCUAAGCACUGUCGAUAUCCUUCUUAUAAGCCAUUUCCAUCUGGACCACUCAGCCAGUCUACCCUAUGUCCUUAGCAAAACCAACUUCAGAGGCCGGGUUUUUAUGACCCAUGCUACCAAAGCUAUCUACAAAUGGUUGAUCCAGGACAAUGUCCGGGUUAGCAAUACGUCAUCUUCCUCCGAUCAGCGCACAACUCUCUACACGGAACAAGACCACCUCUCGACCUUGUCCCAUAUAGAAGCCAUUGAUUUCAACACCACCCAUACUAUCAACAACAUUCGUAUUACCCCAUUUCCUGCGGGUCAUGUCCUUGGUGCAGCCAUGUUUCUUAUCUCAAUCGCUGGUCUUAACAUUCUCUUCACGGGCGACUACUCUCGUGAAGAAGACCGACAUCUUAUAUCAGCGGAAGCACCAAAAGGUGUCAAAGUUGACGUGCUCAUCACUGAAUCCACAUUCGGUGUAUCUUCCAACCCACCUCGCUUGGAACGAGAGGCAGCGCUUAUUAAAUCUAUCACAUCUAUUCUUAACCGAGGAGGACGGGUUCUCAUGCCAGUUUUUGCCCUAGGACGAGCACAGGAGCUCUUAUUAAUUCUCGACGAAUACUGGAGUCGUCAUCCCGAGUUGCAGAAGAUACCUAUCUACUAUAUCGGAAACAUUGCACGGAGAUGUAUGGUUGUUUAUCAGACAUACAUUGGAGCCAUGAACGAAAAUAUCAAGCGCCUUUUCCGCCAACGGAUGGCGGAGGCUGAAGCCUCCGGGGACAAGAGCAUCAGCGCAGGACCGUGGGAUUUCCGGUUCGUGCGCAGUGUGAGGAGUAUUGAGCGCUUUGAUGAUGUGGGCGGAUGCGUCAUGCUUGCAUCUCCUGGUAUGCUGCAAACAGGCACUAGCCGGGAACUUCUGGAACGGUGGGCGCCAAACGAACGAAACGGUGUAAUUAUGACUGGCUAUAGUGUUGAGGGAACUAUGGGCAAACAGAUCCUAAAUGAGCCAGAGCAAAUUCCGGCAGUGAUGAGCGGCAGGAAUGCUGUUGGGCCGGCUAGGAGAAUGGCCACUGGAGAUGACGAUGAGCAAAAGGUCAUGAUUCCGAGGCGAUGCAGCGUGGAUGAAAUAAGUUUUGCAGCCCACGUCGAUGGAAUGGAAAACCGCGCGUUUAUUGAAGAAGUUGGCGCCCCUGUUGUGAUCCUUGUCCACGGAGAAAAAAAUCAAAUGAUGCGCCUUAAAUCCAAACUGCUAAGUUUAAACACGGACAAAACCGUCAAAGUCAAAGUAUAUACGCCAGCAAACUGCGAGGAAGUCCGAAUACCCUUCCAAGUCGACAAGGUUGCCAAAGUCGUCGGGCGGCUUGCAGAGACCGUACCACCUUCUGACCAUAAGGAGUCACGACUCCUGAACGGCGUUCUCGUGCAACACGGAUUCAAGUUAUCCCUGAUGGCGCCUGAAGAUCUCAGGGAAUAUGCUGGCCUGGCUACCACGACCGUCACUUGCAAACAGCACAUCACGCUCAACACGGCCAGCAUUGAAUUGAUCCGAUGGGCGUUGGAGGGGACCUUUGGCGCUGUUGAGGAAAUCCGUCCCGAUCGCCCAAAGGCCGAAGACCUGGAGACCAACGGUUUUGACGGGGAGAGUAUCGAUGUAAAGAAAGAAGAUGAGAAAGUAGAUGAGGAAAUUUCGACGGAAGAAACGCUUGCGUAUCUAGUGAUGGGCUGCGUUACUAUCCUCUACACUCCACGAACGCGAGAGGUGAUUGUCGAGUGGGAAGGGAAUAUGAUGAACGAUGGGAUUGCCGAUGCAGUCAUGGCCGUGUUACUUACAGUGGAAACCAGCCCAGCUUCUGUAAAACGCUCAAGCAAACAACACCGGCACCUGCACUCGCACACCCCACCCCUCACCUUACCAAACCCACACUCCAACCUGACACCAGAAGAACGCCUCACCCGCCUCUGCAUGCUGCUCGAAGCGCAAUUCGGGCCCAACAUCGCGCCCAUCGAAAAGCCAAGGAUCAAGAAAACCUCCUUCGCCGCGGCCACCACCACCACCUCCUCAACACUCAACAAAAAUGGCACCUCGACACCAAGAACAACAGCAGCAGUAGCAUCAACCCUCUUAAAACCAGAUCCAGACGCCACCAGCGCAGUCUCCACCUCAACCGUUUCGGGCACGACAAUUACCGCACCCUCCCCGUCCCUCUCUCCCUCAUCCACGCCAACACCAUCGCCCGAAGACCUCACUGCCGAAGACCUGUACGAGCUCGAAUCUGCGGAGCUAGAGCGACUUUACAGUCUCGGCAUUCCCGUGCCAGGUCUGGAGAUCCGGGUCGACAAGCAUGUGGCGCGUGUGUGGCUGGAGACACUGGAGGUGGAGUGCGGUUCUGCGGUGUUGAGGGACCGGGUGCGGGUAGUUGUUGAGCGGGCUGUGG
rnacentral:sRNA from 1 species